CCCGACUGCUAUUUGGGUGAGGAUAAGCCAUGCGAGUUGAAUGGGAUACCUAAAAAUCCCAUGGCAAACUGCUCAGUAACACAUGAUCAACUUACCCUAUAGAGAAAAAUAACCUCGGGAAACUGAGGAUAAUGUUUCAUAGUUGAAUAGGCUUGGAAAAGUUUUUCAAUAAAAGGGAUAAGGAAAAUGGUCCUUAUCCGCUAUAGGAUAGGAUCGUGUUCGAUUAUGGUUGUUGGUGAGGUAACGGCUCACCAAGCCGAUAAUCGAUAGGGGCCGUGAGAGCGGGAGCCCCAAGAUGGGUACUGAGACAACGACCCAGGCCUUACGAGGCGCAGCAGGCGCGGAACCUCCGCAAUACACGAAAGUGUGACGGGGUUACCCAAAGUGCUCUUUUUAGAGCUGUGGUAGGUGAGUAAUGUUCCCUACUAGAAAGGAGAGGGCAAGGCUGGUGCCAGCCGCCGCGGUAAAACCAGCUCUUCAAGUGGUCGGGAUAAUUAUUGGGCUUAAAGUGUCCGUAGCCGGUUUAGAAAGUUCCUGGUAAAAUCGGGUAGCUUAACUAUCCGUAUGCUAGGAAUACUGCUAUACUAGAGGGCGGGAGAGGUCUGAGGUACUACAGGGGUAGGGGUGAAAUCUUAUAAUCCUUGUAGGACCACCAGUGGCGAAGGCGUCAGACUGGAACGCGCCUGACGGUGAGGGACGAAAGCCAGGGGAGCGAACCGGAUUAGAUACCCGGGUAGUCCUGGCCGUAAACGAUGCAUACUAGGUGAUGGUACGGCCAUGAGCCGUGUCAGUGCCGUAGGGAAACCGUUAAGUGUGCCGCCUGGGAAGUACGGUCGCAAGGCUAAAACUUAAAGGAAUUGGCGGGGGAGCACCACAAGGGGUGAAGCCUGCGGUUC
rnacentral:rRNA from 1 species